rnacentral:rRNA from 1 species
AGAGUUUGAUCCUGGCUCAGGACGAACGCUGGCGGCGUGCUUAACACAUGCAAGUCGAACGAGGCAAUUUCCUUCGGGGAAUUACCGAGUGGCGGAUGGGUGAGUAACGCGUGAGCAAUCUGUCCCGGACAGGGGGAUAACAACUGGAAACAGUUGCUAAUACCGCAUAAGACCACGGAGUCUCAUGGCACUGAGGUAAAAGGAGUAAUCCGGUUCGGGGUGAGUUCGCAUCUGAUUACAUAGUUGGAGAGGUAACGGCCCACCUGCUCUGCCAUCAGUAAUCGACCUGAUAGGGUGACCGGCCACAUUGGGACUGACACACGGCCCAUACUCCUACGGGAGGCAGCAGUGGGGAAUAUUGGGCAAUGGGGGAAACCCUGACCCAGCAACGCCGCGUGAGGGAAGAAGGUUUUCGGAUUGUAAACCUCUGUCCUUGGGGACUAACCGAUCACAGUCCCCGAGGAGGAAGCCCCGGCUAACUACGUGCCAGCACCCGCGGUAAUACCUACGGGGCGAGCGUUGUCCGGAUGACUGGGCGUAAGGGCGUGUAGGCGGCGAUUUAAGUUUGGAGUGAAAGUCCCGUUUUCAAGAUGGGAAUUGCUUUGGAUACUGGAUUGCUUGAGUACAGAAGAGGUAAGCGGAAUUCCCGGUGUAGCGGUGAAAUGCGUAGAGAUCGGGAGGAACACCAGUGGCGAAGGCGGCUUACUGGGCUGUAACUGACGCUGAGGCGCGUAAGCGUGGGGAGCGAACAGGAUUAGAUACCCUGGUAGUCCACGCGGUAAACGAUGAAUGCUAGGUGUAGCGGGUAUCGCCCCUGCUGUGCCGCAGUAAACACAAUAAGCAUUCCGCCUGGGGAGUACGGCCGCAAGGUUGAAACUCAAAGGAAUUGACGGGGGCCCGCACAAGCGGUGGAGUAUGUGGUUUAAUUCGACGCAACGCGAAGAACCUUACCAGGGCUUGACAUUGAGUGAAAGAUCUAGAGAUAGAUCCCUCCCUUAGGGGACACGAAAACAGGUGGUGCAUGGCGGUAGUCAUCUCGUGUCUUGAGAUGUUGGGUUAAGUCCCGCAACGAGCGCAACCCUUAUCUUUAGUAGCCAGCAUUUCGGAUGGGCACUCUAGAGAGACUGCCCGGGUGAACCGGGAGGAAGGUGGGGAUGACGUCAAAUCAUCAUGCCCUUUAUGAUUUGGGCUACACACUUGCUACAAUGGUGGCAACAAAGAGGAGCGAGCGUGCAAGCGUAAGCGGAUCUCAAAAAAGCCAUCUCAGUUUGGACUGUGGGCUGCAACCCGCCCACACGAAGUUGGAGUUGCUUGUAAUCGCGAAUCAGAAUGUCGCGGUGAAUACGUUCCCGGGCCUUGUACACACCGCCCGUCACACCAUGGGAGUUGGGAGCACCCAAAGCCGGUGAGCUAACUCAAGAGGCAGCCGUCCAAGGUGAGACCGAUGACUGGGGUGAAGUCGUAACAAGGUAGCCGUAUCGGAAGGUGCGGCUGGAUCACCUCCUU